rnacentral:rRNA from 1 species
CACGUAGGGGGCGAGCGUUUGUCCGGAUUUAUUGGGCGUAAAGAGCUCGUAGGCGGUUUGUCGCGUCUGCCGUGAAAGUCCGGGGCUCAACUCCGGAUCUGCGGUGGGUACGGGCAGACUAGAGUGAUGUAGGGGAGACUGGAAUUCCUGGUGUAGCGGUGAAAUGCGCAGAUAUCAGGAGGAACACCGAUGGCGAAGGCAGGUCUCUGGGCAUUAACUGACGCUGAGGAGCGAAAGCAUGGGGAGCGAACAGG